UUCUGUCCUAUCCUUAGGUGCUCCAAGUCAGAAGGAUGAAAAUUCCAAACAGGUGAAUCCAACUUCUCCUGUAUAUGAAAACACACUCCUUUCUGAACAGGCCAUGCCGAAGAGUUCUUCAGAGAUCAACAACACGUACGAGGAGUUGAGACACGGAAACCAGGCUGUGUAUGAUCAGCUGAAAUGGUCACCGAAGGGACCCUCCAACUCGAGUGGAAGUCGACACACCAGUCCAG